UUCCUGAUGGGUCACAGACCUGACUCGAUGCCGUGUUAAGAAUGGCUGCUCUUGACCACGUCUCUUCUGUUGAAAUAGGAAGUCAGACCUUCUUAAAAAGAUGUAUUGCUCAAUGCCUUAUGUAAAUUGAAGUGAUCAUUUUUAUGAAUACAUCAUCAAACAAACCACGGUUUAAGGCAACAGUCAUUCCAGUUGGGAAUUUGAAGAAUUAUAUUCCAAUAUGUCUGUGGCACUUGUAAGAGAAAGGUAUAAUGCCAGAAAAGAUUGAUAAACAAAGUAUAUACUUGAUUUUACAUGUGAUAA